GUGGUACAUAUUUGCAUCCUUAUGCAAGCUAACAACUAUUCCCUUUCUCAGACACUUUUGCUUUUUAUAGUCCUUUGCUUAUGUAUUACCAUCUCUUCUGUGAUUCUGGGCUGCAGUUCUCAUUUCCAUCUUUUUUUUUUUUCCCCUGUUGCUGUUCACCUUCCUACUUCGGUUAAUGACAUCAGCUGUUGCUAUUUCUGUGCUUCAAUAGACAUUGCUCACAUCUGAAUUGGUUGCUUUGGUUAGAGGCGAUAUUUUGUAUGUCAGAUCCCCAGAGCUGCGAGAGCAUCUUCCCCUCUCUCUCUUAAGGAACAUCUCCCCCCCUGCUUGUAUGCAAUGUGAAAAAGAGCCUGAGCAGGCAAGCCUCAGGGGCUAAUGCAUUAAGAUUCAUGGGUUUGAUAGCAGAUGUUUCUUCAUUCUUUCAGAACCUAUUUAUUUUCCCUAUGUGUGCUAUCUCUUACUUCCAAAAAGGAUCGCAUUUCAAGCUCUGGUCAAGUAACCCUUAUUUCAUAGGAAAAAUACUGACCAUUUUGCUCUUGUUCUUAGUGAGCAGCUGCCUAGUUACAAAUGACACACCUGGUAGCUGGGGAAGAAGGUGUUCUGCUGUGCCUGUUGCUCUGGGAGCUGAUGGGAUCAUGCACUGCUGGGGAAGGAGGAACAAAGCUAUCAGGUCACCUGUCUGCUUGCGGAUGAUGCUAACAAGAGACUCAGGAAAUUUUGCCAGAUGGAACUCUCAGAAAAACCAGCAGUUGUGGACAAGGGGCCUUCAGGCCUGAGUUGAGGUCUGCUCCUUUUACCAAGCCAAACCAGAAAGCCCCAGUUUCAGGACAGUCCAUAUGGCAGAGCUGGCUGGGACAUGAAAAGCCUGGUAAACUUGCUUCUCCAGUCCUCCAGAAGCCUACUUGAUAGGGUAUCAAGAAGUGGGUGUACAAGUAUAGAUGGGGACAACCUCUGAUGAGAUUAUGGCAAUUUUCAGGCAAAACUGAUUUUCUUUUUGAAGAACUGAGUGUGUGGAAAACAAAUGUUCUGCGCAAAAUGAAAGUAAAGUACUUUAUUCUCCAGCUGAGAACAUUCAGAGCCAAAGCAACUCAAAUCUGCUUCCCUAAAUUGCAGAUUUAUUACAUCUGAAGACACAAGAACUUUUGCUGCUGAUGAACAAGGCAAAUUUCAUGUAGCAAGAUCUAGCACCUUUUUAGCUUUUUCCUUGCAUGGCCUCUAAAAGCUUCCAUUUCUGCAAAUAGAAAGAUGCUGAGAUGAUUUUCCCCAGUGGUAAGGUAUGCCAGGAUAUGGUUACGUCAACUCAGUCUGAAAGAAAUGUUUGAACUUCCCCCUAGGAGAUUACCCAAUAAGGUGGUGAGCGACUGCAAGAGAAGAAAAAAGAAACAAGGAAGAGAAUUUAUGUUAGAGACACUGUCCUCCUGCUAAUGCCAAACUAGUGCUGUCAUCUUCCUUGGAGUAGGCUGACAAUUCCAAUUCGAUGGAUCUAGGAUAUUAGUACAAAACACAAAGAUGUAUUUCUCAUGUUUGUCUAGUGACUCUUCCCUAGACAGUGUUUGUGCAAGCUGUUUCUGGAAGAGAAGAUUAAAUGCAAAUCCUUGGAAUAAGUGUACUGAUUGCUGAGCUCUUCUGGUCAGCUAUCUAGGAUGUGGAAUACUAAAUGCAAUGACAACCAGCUUUUGCUGGCAGAAGAAAAGCCUGGUAAAGAAGCCUGGUAUUGACUUCAAUGACCACUCAGGAAACAAAGCUCCAAGUAAGAUGGCUGCAGGAGUUUAUUUUGACCCACACAUUAUGAAUGUUUUAAUAAAUAGCUAUGCUCUCAUAUAAACUCCUGUCUCCUCACCUUAAAGAUGAGCUCUGGCUUCUCACUUCUGCUCAAAGCAUAUCUGCAUCAUUUCUAUUACUUCCUUCAUUUUCUAAAUGUGAAAACCAGUCAUGCAAAUUGUUAUGGUGUCAAUUCCACACAAGCUUUCCUCUAGUUACUCCACUUCAUUCCACACAGGAUGAUAACUAUUAAAUCAAACUCUAUUUACUAGUCAUUACAUUGUAUCAUUACUUUCUAAAUUAUCUUAUAGACUUCUGAUUACCCCAUUAUGUACUGCAGAGGGAUAUCUCAAUUGGAGCAGGAAUGCUGGUGAUUCUAGGAGGCAAAACAGCAAGCCAGUUCCCAAG
rnacentral:lncRNA from 1 species